CUCCUCCUAAAGCGUAACGGAGGAGCACGAAGGUUGGCUAAUCCUGGUCGGACAUCAGGAGGUUAGUGCAAUGGCAUAAGCCAGCUUGACUGCGAGCGUGACGGCGCGAGCAGGUGCGAAAGCAGGUCAUAGUGAUCCGGUGGUUCUGAAUGGAAGGGCCAUCGCUCAACGGAUAAAAGGUACUCCGGGGAUAACAGGCUGAUACCGCCCAAGAGUUCAUAUCGACGGCGGUGUUUGGCACCUCGAUGUCGGCUCAUCACAUCCUGGGGCUGAAGUAGGUCCCAAGGGUAUGGCUGUUCGCCAUUUAAAGUGGUACGCGAGCUGGGUUUAGAACGUCGUGAGACAGUUCGGUCCCUAUCUGCCGUGGGCGCUGGAGAACUGAGGGGGGCUGCUCCUAGUACGAGAGGACCGGAGUGGACGCAUCACUGGUGUUCGGGUUGUCAUGCCAAUGGCACUGCCCGGUAGCUAAAUGCGGAAGAGAUAAGUGCUGAAAGCAUCUAAGCACGAAACUUGCCCCGAGAUGAGUUCUCCCUGAGACUACAAGUCUCCUGAAGGAACGUUGAAGACGACGACGUUGAUAGGCCGGGUGUGUAAGCGCAGCGAUGCGUUGAGCUAACCGGUACUAAUGAACCGUGAGGCUUAACCUUACAACGCCGAAG
rnacentral:rRNA from 1 species